UUAUUUGAUACCUGCCCUCCUUAUUACUGCCUUAUUUCCUGUUGUAGAAAAAAAACAUGUGCCAAUCUGCCAGAAGACAGCAACAAAGAAAAGGAGGGUGUUCGACUCCGGCAGGCAAAGGGCAGAGGGGACUGAUAUUUCUACAGUCAAACCCAUAAAACCAAAGUUGCAAAGUUCUUCCAGCAGCUCAAGUCUGAUAAACCUGAACCACUGAAGAAGCAGUCCAAUUGGCACCGAAAGCAUGAAGAAUUCAUUGCCACCAUCCGCGCUGCUAAAGGUUUAAAUCAGUUCUUGAAAGAUGGUGGACCCCUUCCUCCACCCCCUCCUCCAUCCUAUGAUCCAGGAAAAAAAAAAAAAAAACUAGUUUAUUGACACUUGGAAUAGUUACAGUAAGAUCGAUGAACACAGUAACAGCAAUUGACUUUUCCAGAUUAUAUCCAGUGUCCCUAUUGCCAGCAACGCUUCAGUGAGAAUGCAGCAGAUCGCCACAUCAAGUUCUGUAAAGAGCAAGCUUCCAGAAUCUCCAACAAGGCCAAGUUUCCUGGGAGUGAUAAAGCAAAACCACCAGCCAGGACUCAGGUGAGGCUUCAGUGAAGAUUACUUGGGAUCAGCAAGGAGUUUUUUUUUUUUUAUUAUUGGUAACUUAGAUCCAUAUACCAUUUUAAUGUGGUAGACAUAAAGGAAUUAUCAAAAACUUAAUAUGAAUACAUUUAUACAUUUAAAGGGACAUCUUUAAAGGAAUGUGCUUUAAUCACGGCCGGGAGGACCUCAAGUGGUC